rnacentral:rRNA from 1 species
CGAAUGCUGACAUAAGUAACGAUAAAGCGGGUGAAAAGCCCGCUCGCCGGAAGACCAAGGGUUCCUGUCCAACGUUAAUCGGGGCAGGGUGAGUCGACCCCUAAGGCGAGGCCGAAAGGCGUAGUCGAUGGGAAACAGGUUAAUAUUCCUGUACUUGGUGUUACUGCGAAGGGGGGACGGAGAAGGCUAUGUUGGCCGGGCGACGGUUGUCCCGGUUUAAGCGUGUAGGCUGGUUUUCCAGGCAAAUCCGGAAAAUCAAGGCUGAGGCGUGAUGACGAGGCACUACGGUGCUGAAGCAACAAAUGCCCUGCUUCCAGGAAAAGCCUCUAAGCAUCAGGUAACAUCAAAUCGUACCCCAAACCGACACAGGUGGUCAGGUAGAGAAUACCAAGGCGCUUGAGAGAACUCGGGUGAAGGAACUAGGCAAAAUGGUGCCGUAACUUCGGGAGAAGGCACGCUGAUAUGUAGGUGAAGUCCCUCGCGGAUGGAGCUGAAAUCAGUCGAAGAUACCAGCUGGCUGCAACUGUUUAUUAAAAACACAGCACUGUGCAAACACGAAAGUGGACGUAUACGG